AACAAGGUUUCCGUAGGUGAACCUGCGGAAGGAUCAUUAUCGAGUUUUUGAACGGGUUGUAGCUGGUCUCUAAUUACGGAGACAUGUGCACGCCUGGCUCAUUCCACUCUUCAACCUCUGUGAACUUAUUGUAGGUCGGUUGAAAGGUCGGUUCAGUAAAAUGAAUUGGCUGGAAGACCUUCCUAUGUUUUUACUACAAACGCUUCAGUUAUAGAAUGUCUUUUACUGCGUAUAACGCAUCUAUAUACAACUUUCAGCAACGGAUCUCUUGGCUCUCGCAUCGAUGAAGAACGCAGCGAAAUGCGAUAAGUAAUGUGAAUUGCAGAAUUCAGUGAAUCAUCGAAUCUUUGAACGCACCUUGCGCUCCCUGGUAUUCCGGGGAGCAUGCCUGUUUGAGUAUCAUGGAAUUCUCAACCUUCAGUACUUUUUUGUAUUCGAAGGCUUGGACUUGGAGGCUUGUGCUGGCUCUUUGUUAGUCGGCUCCUCUGAAAUACAUUAGCGUGAAUCACUAUGGAUCGCUUCGGUGUGAUAAUUAUCUGCGCCGUGGUCGUGAAGUAUUAAUUCAAGUUCGCGCUUCUAAUCGUCCUUUCAAUGGGACAAUUAACCUUGAACUUUUGAUCUCAAAUCAGGUAGGACUACCCGCUGAACUUAAGCAUA
rnacentral:rRNA from 1 species